UGUAAAGUUCAAGCUCCGAUUUGAGGGCGAACCGCGAAUGGCUCAUUAAAUCAGUCAUAAUCUACUUGAUUGUUGAAGGUUAGAUGGAUAACUGUGGUAAUUCUAGAGCUAAUACAUGCCGAGGAGGGCGACUCUGGUUGGGGUAAAAGCCGAUUGGAGAAGCCUCGCGUUUAUUAGACUAAGACCAGUGUGGCGCAAGCCACUUGGUUAGGUGACUCUGAGUAAAUAACGGGUGUAAGCCCGUGAAGCCGACCUGGCACUCAACACUCUUCGGAAUGGCCAGGCGAAUCAAUCCAGUGGCUGCUCUAUCAACUGGGGAUGGGAGGGUAAUUGCCUACCAUGGUGAUGACCGGUAACGGGGAAUUAGGGCUCGACUCCCGAAAACAAGCCUGAGAAACGGCUAGUAGGACUAAGGUCUGCAGCAGGCGCGAAACUUACACAAUGCUAGAUUACAAGUUAGCGAUGUAGUGAAGAAAAAUAACGAUGUGCUUGCAUUUAAACAUGCUUGCACAAUUGGAAUGAGACGACUGUAAAUUGGUCAGUCGAGUAACAAAUGGAGGGCAAGUCUGGUGCCAGCAGCCGCGGUAAUUCCAGCUCCAUUAGCAUACAUUAAAGUUGUUGCGGUUAAAAAGCUCGUAGUUGAAUGUAGUGGUUGUUUUGUGUGUGUUUGGGCGUUAAGCGCGCCUCGGUGCGUGUCCAGGUCACUGCACGAAGCAGCUAGUUUCGUCACUUAAUCGAGUGCGAAGCGGGGUUGGAUUUAAGUCUUCGGACGAAGUUUCAGCCAAGUUUACCUUGAGAAAAUCAGAGUGCUCAGAGCAGGCAGUUGGGGCGUAAAAACCUCUUUAUGCUUGAAUGAUGUUGCAUGGAAUAAUAGAAUACGGCCUCGGUUCUAUUCUGUUGGUCUUAUAGAACAACAAACAAGUUGGUGAUGUCGCUAACGGGUUGCUGUUGGGGUGUCGCUUGUAGGACUUGUUGCCUGGGAGUAAAAUCUCAGUGCCAACCAACAAGCAACACAAAAAGCCCCUCCAACAAACCAGACAUACUACCAACUGAGGCAAUGGUUAAAAGAAAUAGUCGCGGCGGCAUCAGUACUGCAUCGUGAGAGGUGAAAUUCUUAGACCGAUGCAAGACUAACUGAAGCGAAAGCGUUUGCCGAGGAUAUUUUCAUUAAUCAAGAACGAAAGUUAGAGGUUCGAAGGCGAUCAGAUACCGCCCUAGUUCUAACCAUAAACGUUGCCAACUAGCAAUUGGGUUGCGAUUCCUUUAGUGGGCGCCUAAAAAACGUCCACCAUUAUGAUCCACCCAGCGGCUCUCGUAGGGAAACCAAAGUGUUUGGGUUCCGGGGGAAGUAUGAUUGCAAAGUUGAAACUUAAAGGAAUUGACGGAAGGGCACCACCAGGAGUGGAGCCUGCGGCUUAAUUUGACUCAACACGGGGAAACUUACUAGAUUAGAACUCUGGAAUGAUUGACAGAUUGAUAGCUCUUUCUUGAUUCAGAGGAUGGUGGUGCAUGGCCGUUCUUGAUUCGUAUUCCGAAACGUCUGCUUAAUUGCGAUAACGAGUGAGACCUCAGCCAACUAACUAGUGCGCGGUCGCGAUGUUGGGGCACUCAAGGGUUGCGUGGGUUUUGGUUGAGAUGGUGGCAACAUCGUCUUGACUGCCGCGCAAUUCGCUCUCUUCUCGACCCGUGACUUCUUAGAGGGAUAAACGGUGUUUUAGCCGUAAGAAACGAG
rnacentral:rRNA from 1 species